rnacentral:misc_RNA from 1 species
AGCAAACCGAGCACUCUGUGGGUUCGCCAUAACCAAGCUCGGGCUGGUUGGUUGGCUUAUAUGGAUACGUCGGAAACGAGGCUUUGACCAAAGCGUCAACCCCUACCUUGGGUGGUUCAGUGGAAUAAUUAGAAUCCAUAUCUGGUGCAAUUUGCCUGGUUUGGCGAUAAAGGGCGGCACGUUGUCUCCUUUCUCGGCGGAUCAGGAGAUAUCUAGAGUAAAGAUGGAGAAGAACUAUGAGCACCACCACUGCAAAUAAAGAAAAGAUCGCCGCGACCAUGAUCUUCCGGCUGACUCCAAAUCGUUUAUCGUCGUCCUCGG